CCAAUCUUUGCCAGGCAUUCCACCAUUCUUUGGGCCUCCCUCCUCCAGUUUGUAUCUUCCUAAUGACAAUGAAGCUAAAGUUGGCAACCAAUUUGAACCAAAUCCUUCACAGAGUACGGAUUGGGACCCGCAGGCUAUAGUGAGCAACCUAACUUUCCUUGAGCAGAAGAUCAAGCAGGUAAAAGAUGUUGUGCAGGCCAUGAGUAACCGAGAGAACCAUGUCGCUGGCGGUUCCUGUGAGCUAGCAGCAAAGCAGCAGCUCAUAACUGCUGAUCUCACUAGCAUUAUAAUCCAGCUUAUCACAACUGCUGGUUCGCUGCUCCCUUCAAUGAAGAACCCACUUAGCAGCAAUCUAGCAGUAAGGCAGCUCGGCAACACUCUUGGUUCUCCUAUGGGUUUUGGCAUGAAUACUAAUCAGCGACCAAGUGUAGACAGCAAGACCAAUAUUCCUGACAGUGGAAAGGUCUCUGAUUACGAGGAACUGAUCAAUAGCCUUAAUACUACCCAAGAUGAAAGAGAUGAGAUGAUCAAAUGCCCAAAUCCUUGUGUUGGGGAAGGGUCUGAACCGACUCCGAUGGAAGACCAUGAUGUAAAGGAGAGUGAUGAUGGUGAGCAUGAGGGAGAGAAUCUCCCCCCUGGUUCUUAUGUAGUAUUACAAUUGGAAAAGGAGGAGAUUUUAGCACCACAUACUCAUUUCUGCUUGAUCUGUGGGAAGGGCUUCAAGAGAGAUGCUAACCUAAGGAUGCAUAUGAGGGGCCAUGGAGAUGAGUACAAGACUGCUGCAGCUCUUGCCAAACCCACGAAAGAUUCUGGUUCAGAGCAUGCACCAGUUACAAGGUACUCAUGCCCAUUUGUGGGUUGCAAGCGGAACAAAGAGCACAAGA
rnacentral:lncRNA from 1 species